GCUCUGGUGGCACAAUGGUUAAAGUGCUUGGCUGCUAACUGAAAGGUCGGUGGUUCAAAUCCACCCAGCGGCU
rnacentral:tRNA from 1 species